UGUGUACCCGCCAGUAAUGCCACAUCGGUGGCGCUCACAGCUCAUGGAAGAUAGGAGACUGUCCGAGUGAUUCGAUCGCUCGAAAAUUUUCAUAAAUAAAAAUUUGCAUCGCAAGUGCGAGAAAGGAGAAAGGAGAAUCGUCGAGCCGUGCGAGGAUCCGUAAAACAGCCGUUACCACUGAGAAAAUCCAUCUUUUCGACGCCUCAUUCGACUCGAGUCUCGGGCUGAACUUGAGCGAAGGCAGCGUGUAAAGCAGCAACGGUGAAAAAGUGCGCGCGCACGUGAGCGACGCGUUUCGAAGCUACCCAUCCGUUGGUAAAUCUCCAAAAAUCGAUCCCGACCCUGCGCACGACGUUUCGUCACGUGUCAGACGUUUAACUCCGAUUUCAUCGUGUGUGUACAUAGGAAAAAUUCGACAAUUUUCACUCCAACAUUGAAAUAACGUACUGAAAACAUUUCUCUCGCGAUAACGAUAAUAAUGGAAGAAAUGCCGAGCACCGUGAAUCAAGAAAUUUAACGUAGGCGAGAGAUGGCAACGAUAAAGCAACUUGAAGAGAAGCAGGACACAUGGAUUCUAUCGUAUUUUAGUCAUGAAUAUUUAUCCCGCAAUGAUGUAUCGUAAUGAUGAUUGGAUGAAGAUCCCAGGAAAUUUGAUGGGACCAACGACGAAAAGCGACUCUAUUUUCGUGUGGAAAUGUGAUUUACAACGUCUAGCUGCCUAGAAACGGUCCAGCUGAAUUGGAAUUUGCUCUGUGAUAGCCAGUUUUACCCAACCAAAGAAUUGCUUUAAGGAUCUACGAAGAACCGCAAACUUUAAAGUUUUACCAAAGAAAAGCAAUACGAAGUACCUUAUCGACAGUAGUAAUACUGUAAUUGCUAUCGUUAAUUUAUGAAACAAGCAAUACGUCGAAAGGAACGAAUCUUGUUGCAUCGAAAAUAUUCUUCGAGAAUUUUGAUACUCUCGAAAAAAUCAACUAUUUCGACGAAACAUUGAGAUAUAUCAAGUGAAAUCGUCACGACCGAUCUCCAAAUGAAAUUUCGCAAAUCCUCCUUAUCCAGCCCGAAGAUGGAAUUACUUUCGAGACGUUCCUCGAACGAUAGGAUAUCGACCUUGAAGAGGUCGAGAUCCUUUCGGGCAUCCGUGAAACUGAUGUCGAAGAUACGCAAUCACGCCAACUUGCGAUUGACCACCGGCUUCGACCUGUCGUCUAUCUCGAAAGAUCCCAAGAAGGAACGCAACCUCUAUGUCAUUGAAGAACCUCGGGACUCUGAAAGAUCCUUGAACCUACGGAAGAAGGAUGCGAGUUCCCGCACCGUCGACAAAUCCGGUGAAAACGAGACAUUCUCGAAUCCUCGAAAAAUGUCAGUGUCGUCAAACGAUAUCGAUUCGCGAGAAAUCACCAAGGAUCUGAAGAGCAAAUUAUCCUUGACCGACAAAAUCAUGCGUAAAGGCCGCAAGGACACGGAAAAACCUUCCGCGAAAAACGAGAGCGUAAAAUCACCAAAGGUUAUUCGCAUUUUUCGCAAGAAACGCAGCGUAGAAAAUUCUCAGGACGAUACUCGAGAAAAAAACUGUAGCGUGUCCUGUGAGGAUAUACAUCAAUCGAGUAAAAAUGUAUUUUAUGAGAAUCCAACGUUCGUAUUAGAUACUUCCUUGGACUCCUCCGUUUCGAGCUUUCUUUAUGAAGAGGAAGAAAAGGAGGAAGAGCAACGGCAAGAUAAAAGCGAACGUCCCGUGUCCUGCGAACGUGACAUCUUGACCGUCGUCGUGGAUUCUCAUAAAGCCGCAAUUAACGAGCCAUUCGAUCACAAAAUUAAUUAUGAGCGAGAUGGAUACGACGAUGAAAAGUCUCUUGAAGAGUCACAGAAUGCAUUUCGAUCCAGAUGCGAGACCGAUCCUUUGAGAUGUUUCUGCGAAGGAAGAAACAAGGAUUCCCAAGCGAAUGCAAUAAACGGGACCCGAAGGAUUACUGAAUCCUUCGGCGGAUUUGAUCGUUCGAGGAUUAAAUUUUACAGUAAGGUACACGAGACAACGAGGAAAAAUGCGUCAAACUAUCUACAAGAUCAAAAAUUCUUUGACAAUGUCAAGACCUGUCCUUCGAAAUCUUGCAAAAUCAGGACGGUCGAUAACUUUACCAACUUUUGGGUGAGCAGACGUGGCAAUAGUUUUCGAAGCAAAAUGACGACUGAUAAAAGGGAUGUGAAAGAAACGAAGGAUUACGAGCGGAUCGGUCAGGAGCGAGUUCUCGUGUCGACAUCAUCGGGAUCAAAGUUACAUUCGUUGCAAGGGAUGGAGUUCCUGGAGGGUUUCGGCAAGAAGAAACAACAGCCCCAACAUUUAAAUAAUCUGUCGUCGAUACAUAUAAAUCCUCUCUCGGCACAAUCCCUCAACAUACACUUGCAUGCUCUAUUUGCGGCUGUGGAACAUGGCCAUUUGGAUAAGGCGAGGACUAUUUUGGAGUCUACCGAUGUAGAUGUAAAUAGCGUUAAUAGCGACGGCUUGUCACCACUGGAUGUUGCUGUACUUAGCAACAACAGGCCGCUGGCAAAAAUGCUGGUUGCGUUCGGUGCGCAGGAAGGAAAUCAAUUUAAGUCUCCGGAGUCCUUGGGAAGUCAUUUGGCGUCAUUACUCUCGGAAGCGGAACACAGAGUUCAAGAACUCGGCGGCGGUACUUCCGGCAGCAGUGCGACUUUAUUGGAGCCACCGAGCAUCCACAGGGCUAGUUUUUCCGCGCAACAUAAUAAUCUCACGGGAUGCAGCGGCAGUACGGAAGACAAGCAGCUUGCCCUAUGGGAAAGAAGAGCCAGGGCCCUCAGAAAAAUGUUAUUGGGUUUCGACCAAGCGCGACCCCCCGACAUGCCGUUUCUGGUUGCGAUCGAUGUUACCGGAACGACUUCGGUAACAAUCAGGUUUCAGGAACCAGACUCGCACGAUUCUCCGAUUUGCACCAAGUUUAAGGUUCAGUGGAGUUUGCACGAUGACUUUUCUGUUAUUUGCGACGAGAGGGAAGUCUUGGACAUGAAGCAGAGAGAAUGUCGUAUCGAGGAUCUAACUCAGGGUCAAAAAUAUUAUUUUCGCGCUGCUGCUGGAAAUUUGAAGGGCUACAGCAGAUUUAGGAAUUCGACACCUGCGCAUGUUACACCUAGCAGUUGGAGGGACAUAGAUGGCAGAGUGCCGAGGUUCGCGGGACGAUUAGAACAAUUAAAUACGCUCUUCACCGAUAUAAGACGACCAGAGUACACGCAAGAGACACCGGCGGUACAGAGGCGAAAUCACAAAAAGAAGACGACGAUAAAACAACUCUUCACAGCGACGAGUAAAUUCCAAAAGAAUCUCAGGCGAGGAGUAUUUCUCGCGUGUCUGCUCUACCACGAAGACAAAGUCCUCGUUACCAACGAGGACUUCUUACCCGUAAUCGAAAUCGACGAGACGUAUCCCAGUUGUAUUUAUAACGAUUUUCAUUGGCUAAUGAAAGUCGCCUGCACCUGGGACGACGUUAAAUCCCUCCGACAAGACAUGGAAAAGAGUCACAGCAGUUCGACGAAUCACUUUAGAAUAAAGUUGCUUCAAGCUGCUGCUCAGAUGCAGGCUGCGCUGUGCAUACAAGAUCUUGGGCAAUUAUAUCACAAACCUGUCAGAGACAUUCAAGGCACUUUGGUAUUUUCGACGGUGAAUUACAUAAAAUCAGCAAAACUGAUUUCCGUAUUAAACAGCCGAUGGUUACCGCUCAGCAAAGUCAUAAAGAAAGUCAUAACGCACGAGGAUAGUAACGUUGCCGAUAUCUUGAUGGCCAGUAUACAAGAACAAAUAACAUAUCAUCAAGUCAGCAGUAUCAAAUUGUCCAAAGGAUUAUACCUCGGUUAUCUAAAGAUGCAGAGCAGCGUGGAUCUCAUACAGGUCGUCGUCCCGACGAAAUCUCCGAAUGUGUUGCCGCACUGCAAGAUUCGCGAUAAUCCACACGUAUCCGCGGACGAGUGGGACUACCUGAAAAGAGUAACGCGCAUCUGCAUGUCCGAUUCUUCCGUGAAGGAGUCCGAAGAGAAGGAGAACGUGACGAACGAGGCUCAAGGCACGGAGCAGCAAAAGUUGUUCGUCGAUCUGGUCGCCGCGACGGCACGACGACUGUUCAAUUAUAUGGAGAUCAGUCCGGAGGAUUCCUUGGUACAUCGACUUUACGACGCCGAGGUGAUCGAGCUGACGUACGACGUAUCGUUUCUCAUCACCGUGCCACCCGCCGAAACCGCUUGUUGCGUGCCAGGGACGCGGGAGAUCCUAUUACAACGCGGUGAUCUCCUGUCGUUGCCCAUUCAGGUCUUUGAGAUGGUGCACCUGAACACGUAUCAAAAAGACGUGAUCAAUCGUUACUCGAGGCUCAGCUGCAUCUUGGAACUGGACACGGCACAGGCCCAGCAUAAUCACAGAGAGGCCUUCAGCUCGUUAGAGUUGAGCGUUGCGAAGGAUAAACUGGCGAGAUUGCAAGACCUCCAGUCGCAAAUGAACACGGUAUGGAAGGGUGCCAGGUGGCUAAUCGACGUUAUAACUUUCGCGAGAGAUCGCGGCUCCUCUCAACAAAACAUUGCGUCGCAAACCGUUGGCAUAUCCAUGAAGCAUCUGCUCAGUUUAGACAGAAACAAGAACAACGCCAGCAACAAUAAUAGUCUAAAGCGAAGUUUGUUACAAUUACCACCUAGAGAUCCUAAGCUCGUUAAAUCGAGCCCCGGCCGAGGUAGCUGGCCGGGACCGAAUCUAUCCAAUUCCGCUUCGAAUCUUCUCACAACGGAAUUCAGCAAGAGCGAACAACAGCUGCCCAGCGGACAAUACGUACGCAAGGGUAGCAACACCUCGAAUGCCUCGACGACGUCGGAACCGCAGAAAUCAUUGUGCGUGCCGAUGAGCAGCAACAGCAAUCUAAGCAAUCUGACCGCGAGCAGCACCAAUCAUCUGAUGCCGCUGCAAAAUACGCGGCUGCCGCCCUCCAAGUCCGAGGACACUCUAAUCCUCACCAAGUACAAACAUAGCCCGCGAAAUCGCUCCGCCACGAUAACUACUUCGGCAUCAGCCAGCACUAGUCCGCUAAUGAGCAUUAAGCCCAUCCUUUACGGCGGCUCGCUAUUGAGUGUCUCCACGGCGAUGACAAACACCACGAGUCUGCUUAGCGUAUCUGUGAGCAACACCAAUUCCGACAGUCUACAUUCGUUGAGCAGCGAGGACAACUCUACGACGAACUCGAGCGUCUGCUUGAAAGCCGGUCAUUCGGUCAAAGUUAAAACGUCCAAACCGACUGCGAGCGUCGCGGCGAUGGCCACCGUUCCACAGGAUAAUUUAGACGAGGAGAAGGAGGAGGCGACAAUGAUGCCGGCACCUCUGCCAGGCAUUCUUCAAGGAACACAAGUCUAACCCGAUUAUAAUUAAAAACUGCUCGCUUGGUCCUCUAGUGCAAACCGAUGUAGCGGACAUAUUGAGUUUACGCGGCCUACGAGACUGGCUUAGCAGCUGGCACCAGUUUGAAAUUACACGUAACACCAAGGACUACAGCACGCGAAGUUGUGG
rnacentral:misc_RNA from 1 species